rnacentral:lncRNA from 1 species
CUUCCAUACUCGUUGGUGACAGCGCAAGAGGUGUGAUUUGCGCAUUAGGUGAGCUCAGGUUUAAAAUGCCAGUUGAUUGAGGUGUGGACUUGCGGAUGGUAUAAGAACGUUUAAGAGACAGUUGGUUAGCUUUAUGUUAACUUGAAACAUGGCAGAGUCGUUAGAAAGAGAAACCUCAACUGAGAAAAACGCUGCUUCCAAAUUGGCCUGUGGGAAUAUUUUGAUUACUGAUCAAUGCGGGAGGGCCCAUCUGAAUGUGUGCUGCUGCCACCCCUGGGCCGGUGGUCUUUCGGUAUGUGAAAAAGGCUGAGUGAACUAGCCAGAAAGCAACAUUCCUUCAGAGCUUCUUCAGUUCCUGCCUCAAGUUCCUUUGAUGAUGGGCUGUGAUGUGGAAGUCUGAAUCUAUGGACUUUUUCAUCUUCCUGUGAUAGCUGAUAGCAACCCAAAGAAGAUAGGUCAUCGAAACCGAAAUUACCUUCUAAUCUUCCUCCAGAAUUGUAAAAGGAGAAAAAUUUUGAUGUUCUUAAAGAUGGAUCCAUUAGCCUUAAUUUACUCUCAAGGACCCACUCUGGUACUAUUUGUUGUAGCUGUUAUUUAGUUGCUAGGACUUGAAAUCAAGACCUAGAACAUACAGGGUAAGUACUCUACUACUGAACUAUACCUUAGAUUGACUUUUUCUUUAAUCUAGAUCAGACUUAAAUAUAUUGUCAAAUUUAGAAAUGUUAAACAACUCCAAUUUCAUGAAACUAAGUCUCUGUAAAAUGAACUGAUCUGCCCAUGUUCACAUAGCUAGUAACUAACUCACGAUUAAAGUUCAUACCUUCCAUGUACCAUUUUUCUAACUUCUCUGUAUCCUAAAUAGCUUUUCUGAGGAAUUCACUGAUGAAAACCAGUCAAGACACUCUGUGUUAUGCAACUAUGACUAAAAUGUAUAGCGAGGGAGAACAGUUGUUGGGGAAAGAAAACUCAAAGUAAUAUAUCCAAUAAGUCACAUCAUACCUUAUUAAAAAGACAGUUGAAAUCUACAUGUACACAUUCACCAGUGAAAGAGUCAAAAAGAAUGUUUUCACCAUGACGGUCUCCAAGCCCCAGGAUGUAGCCAACCAUUGACAUGACUGCAGUAGAGCGGCAAUAUGCAGAUCUGCUACUGUACCUAAAGCAGUACAAUGCUUGUCAAAUACUCUGUGCCAGGUUAAGUACAAAAAAAUUUAGAAAGAAACAUCAAACUAUAACAAUAUUCUUGUUAACUUGCCAUGAUGUAGGAUCAGGGAAUGUUCUCAGAAACCACUCAUGAAAAACAGGAGGAUGCCUGGGCAGGAGUAAUUCUUGGAAUACUUUGAGUUUUUCAGAUAAAGCUGCUGACUUUGGUAGCAUACACUGGCGAAGCUCCUUUCCUGUCAUAUACACUCCUACAAAGCAGAAUGAUUUUAAUUGUUUGUACAGCCAAAUGAGAAAAGAAGCAAGAAUAAUUUUGUUAAAAUAUUAAAGUAUCAACUUUUGCUACAACUGAAAAGC